rnacentral:rRNA from 1 species
AUGAACGCUGGCGGCGUGCCUUAGGCAUGCAAGUCGAAUGGGUCGCAAGACCAAUGGCGGACGGGUGAGUAACACGUAGGAAUCUACCCUAAAGUGGGGUAUAGCUCGUCGAAAGACGGGGUAAUCCCCCAUAUGGUAUUUAUACCAAAGGAUGUAACUAUUCGCUUUAGGAGGAGCCUGCGUCCUAUCAGCUAGUUGGCAGGGUAAAAGCCUACCAAGGCGAUGACGGGUAGGGGGUGUGAGAGCAUGACCCCCCACAAGGGCACUGAGAUACGGGCCCUACAUCUACGGAUGGCAGCAACCGGGAAUAGUUGGCAAUGGACGAAAGUCUGACCACGCGACGCCUCGUGCGGGAUGAAGGCCCUCGGGUCGUAAACCGCUUUUGCUGGGGAGGAAGUCCCGCUCAGCGGGAUUGACAGUACCCAGAGAAUAAGCACCUGCAAACUACGU